ACAACAACCAGUUUUACACUAAAUUAUCAGCACAACACUAUCUCUGUAGGGUACAAAAUGUAUGUUUUCUGGAAUAUGUGAAUACUUAUGACCCUUUAUUUACAGUUACAAAUGUGCCGCCCGGGUUACAUCCAUUAAUGAGCCCAAUGGCAAGCUUAUUUCCUACAAUGGUGAACACAAUCAUGGAAUCGUAGGAAACAGACACAGACGAAGCGAUCGAAAGCGAGUUGGAGCAGAACGAUGAGCAGAAUUUUCGGAUCAAUGUGUGUUCAUCAAGUCAGAAUUAAUUAUUCCCCCGAAUAAAGCUGUGUGCGAUACUGUGAAACUAUUGUUUGUGUUUGUCAAAGCAUCUAUCGUUGUUCUAGAAUGCUUAUCAUUUGUAUGUUUUUCAGCAAAAAAUGACGUAGCCUAUGUGCAGACAAAACAAGGUAUACAACUAUCAAUCAAUGGUUAUUUGUUCAAACCAUGGAAAUCGGUAAACAACGUAGGAUUAUGGCAGUGUCUUCAGUUUUCUGAAUAUGACUGCCCGGUACAGGCUAGCACGGAACGAACCAAGGAUGGAAAACAAGCUCGCAUUUCAAUUCAAGGGCAGCACAAUCACCCCGUUUUCAGAGAUCAUUCCAGAAACGUCACAAUGCGACCAGUUAUGAAAACCUACAGUAGAAAAAAACUCUAAUCCUCAAAAGGAAUAUCAAAUUGCUGCUAUUUGUGGUCAACAUUGUGAAGAAAAAAUAAAUUCCCAACUUCUCUA